AGAGACUUCGGGGAAGUGAUGGAGGAGGGGUGCUACUAUGGGAGUGGUGACACGGAGUGCAGCCAGGGCCCCUGUCCUGCUGCUG